rnacentral:lncRNA from 1 species
UCUAGGAGCUGUCAGAUUAAACCCCCAGACCCACGAGAAAAUCCCUGAAGCUUCGUUGACUUUUGCUGAUGGAGCCUCUCUGAAGGGCAAAUUCAAGGUACAGCUGGGUGCUGCAGCACUGGAGUGCGAACUUGUGGCUGUGGUUAUGAAGGAGCCUAGGCAGCUAUGCCUUUAGCCCCUGGUGAAGCAGUGCCAGUCACACUUUGCCAGUCAAACGGAGAGGCAGCAGUAGUAAGACCAGACCAAAUCAAACCAAACCAAGCAAACCACGGGGAAUGGAG